rnacentral:misc_RNA from 1 species
UAACCACUCAAGCCUCGGCUUGGUCUUGGGGUUCGCGGUCCCGCGGCCCUUAAAAUCAGUGGCGGUGCCGCCUGGCUCUAAGCGUAGUAAUUCUCUCGCUCUAGGGUCCAGGUGACCACCUGCCAGAACCCCCCAUUCUUUAC